GCUUGGCAAUCUUCUCACCUCUUUCUCGGCCCUAGGGGUCAGUCUGAGGGAGCCUCUGAGAGCAGAGCUGAAAUGGGUUUCAACCUGUGCAGUUUUCUUGAACAUGCUUUUUUGAGAAUUUUAAUCUCUUCUGACAGCUAAGUAGGAAUCAAAGUGUGGUGUUCAUGAUGGUGAACUGGGAGAGAUGGGCACUUAGUGCCUGGCAUCCACUGAGCACUACAUAAGUCCUUGACACUGGUGGAAUUAUGUCCAAAUUGGUUCUCCAGGUAAGAAUCUUUAAAAUUUGCUUUCUUAUUUGUGAGGGCAGACUAGUUAAAAAGCAGAUAAUGUAAUCUGUAAAUCUACCUCACUGAACUCUCAGUGACUCUUUUGCUGAAGAAGAGUCAUUUUCUAUUUUCCUCACGGGACCUGGGUACAGUUCAUGCCAAGAGGCCACCAGAUAGGUGUGCCAAGUGAGUGUGUUGAUCCAUGCCAGCAAUUCUUAAUGCUUCUUCUUUUUUACAAAAAGUAAAUAUGUAUGUGUGCUUAUUUGUGUAUAUGUAUGCAUUCAAAUACACAUAAGUAUAUGAGCAUAUGUAUGUAUGUGCAUAUGUAUGUUUGUAUAUGUAAGUAUGCAUGCAUAUGUAGGUACACACAUAUGAACAUGCACAUACAUUUAUAAACAGGAAAGUAUGUGUUUUUGCAUAUAUGCCCAUUUGUCUAAGAGUAUGUGCAUGCAUAGAUUUUAAUGAAUCCAGAUCUGUGUAUAGGUACAUAUGUAUUUAUUUGUAUACAUGUAUAUACUGGUGCAUCUAUGUAUUGUAUAUACAUAAACAUGCACAAGUUUUGUGAGUAUGUAUAUAUAAAUUAUGUAUGUAUAUAUGUAUGUAUGUAUAUAUGUGUGUAUGUAUGUAUGUAUAGUAGAAUCCAAGUACACUAAUAUCUUCUUACCCCUUAAUGGAUUUUCUGUAUUUCUUGUGAUGUGCUCAGUCACUUCUGUUUUGUGACACAGUUUCACCAUGUAGUCUUGGCUGGCCUGUUGCAGAGAUGCACCUGUUUCUGACUUCAAGUACUGGAAUUACUUGAAUGUGUGUGCCAGAACACCUGGCUGAUGUACUUGAUCUCUUUGGAGGCCCCUGUGCUCAGAAAUCUAUUGGUGAAAUCUGCCUGAGCCUUGGGUAAGAGAGAAACAUAGGGACAGGAAAAGGGCAAUCAGAGCAAAGGAAACCUGGCCAAAUCCCAAGAGGCAGAUAGCUGUAGGCAGAAUCUUGCUGUGAGGGCUCUUCCUACACGAAUCAGUGAGGGCCUGAGUUUCAGAUACAGUGUGUUCCAGAAGUACAGAUCCACUUGGCAAGGAUGUAUUUACUGACCACUACUCUACCCAGCACUGUGCUAAAGAUGCUGGCACUAAAUGGUCAUUUGUUGAAGGAGUUAAUGUUCUGAUAGAAAUGUCUAACACCAACAGAUUCACUCAAUCAAAAUUAUUUUUAUACUGUAAAUAUGUAAAUAUACAUACAAUUCAUACAUAAGUGCUAUUACUCCAAAUACAGAAGUCUUCAGAGGAAAGACUUCCUGGACGAAGAAGGUAAUACUUGGGAGUAGUAUUGAAAAGAAAAAUUGUUUGCUUAGUUGAAUGGUAAAUAAACAAAAGUCUUGAAAUGCUUGUUAAGAUAUUAUAAAUA